rnacentral:rRNA from 1 species
UGAGCAAUCUGCCCUUCUCAUCGGAAUAAGCGUUGGGAACGACGUCUAAUGCCGAAUACGACCUCCUUUCGCAUGAUCGGAGGUGGAAAGCUCCGGCGGAGAAGGAUGAGCUCGCGGCCUAUCAGCUAGUUGGUGUGGGUAAUGGCCCACCAAGGCGACGACGGGUAGCCGGCCUGAGAGGGUGACCGGCCACACUGGGACUGAGUCACGGCCCAGACUCCUACGGGAGCAG